rnacentral:rRNA from 1 species
GAUGAACGCUGGCGGCGUGCCUAAUACAUGCAAGUCGAGCGAACCACUUCGGUGGUGAGCGGCGAACGGGUGAGUAACACGUAGGUUAUCUGCCCAUCAGACGGGGACAACGAUUGGAAACGAUCACUAAUACCGGAUAGGACGAAAGUUUAAAGGUGCUUCUGGCACCGCUGAUGGAUGAGCCUGCGGCGCAUUAGCUAGUUGGUAGGGUAAAGGCCUACCAAGGCGACGAUGCGUAGCCGACCUGAGAGGGUGAACGGCCACACUGGGACUGAGACACGGCCCAGACUCCUACGGGAGGCAGCAGUAGGGAAUCUUCGGCAAUGGGCGAAAGCCUGACCGAGCAACGCCGCGUGAAUGAUGAAGGCCUUCGGGUUGUAAAAUUCUGUUAUAAGGGAAGAACGACUUUAGUAGGAAAUGGCUAAAGUGUGACGGUACCUUAUGAGAAAGCCACGGCUAACUACGUGCCAGCCGCCGCCGUAACAC